UACAGAGGGUGCUAGCGUUGUUCGGAAUCAUUGGGCGUAAAGGGCGUGUAGGCGGUUUGUUAAGUCAUGUGUGAAAUCCCUCGGCUCAACCGGGGAACGACGCAUGAAACUGGCAAGCUAGAGUACCAAAGAGGGGGGUGGAAUUCCCGGUGUAGCGGUGAAGUGCGUAGAUAUCGGGAGGAACACCUGUGGCGAAGGCGGCCCCCUGGUUGGAUACUGACGCUGAGGCGCGAAAGCGUGGGGAGCAAACAGG
rnacentral:rRNA from 1 species